rnacentral:rRNA from 1 species
UAAGGAAUAUUGCUCAAUGGGAGAAAUCCUGAAGCAGCAACGCCGCGUGGAGGAUGAAGGGUCUAUGACUUGUAAACUCCUGUAAAGAGGGAAAAAAUUCCCAUUUGAUGGGAGAUGAUGGUACUUCUGGAGUAAGCCCCGGCUAACUACGUGCCAGCAGCCGCGGUAAUACGUAGGGGGCAAGCGUUGUCCGGAUUUACUGGGUGUAAAGGGUGCUCAGGCGGAUUUGUAAGUCAGAGGUGAAAUCUUACAGCUUAACUGUGAAACUGCCUUUGAUACUGCAAGCCUAGAGUAUGGAAGAGAGUGAUGGAAUAUCUGGUGUAGCAGUGAAAUGCGUAGAUAUCAGAUAGAACACCGAUGGCGAAGGCAGUCACUUGGUCCAUUACUGACGCUAAAGCACGAAAGCGUGGGUAGCAAACA